ensembl:lncRNA
CGGAGCGCGGCGCUUGAGGGUGACUUGAUGUUCCUCAGCCCGCCAAGUUUCAGGGAAGUGAGGCUUUACCCGCUCACCGAAUUUUUUUCCGCACAUUUUUGUCAACAUCAUAUUCUGUUUCCAGCCAAGGACUUGUUUUUUAAUUUGUGCUUUAAAAAAAAAACUUUCUUCAUGCUAGCUCUUCAGGACGGGCUCCCGGGAGGCUGUCCCGGAGAAUCCCCUGUUUUCAUUGGUUCUGGAGGUUGUCAUACUAGGCCUCCACGAUCUCUGAUUGGCCUGUCAAAACGAGGCUCGAAUUUUCUUCGCGGAUCGUCGGGCUCACGCUGCGCUGGGCAAUUCUUUCCUAACACCCUUCUGUGUUGUUGAAAUGGCAUUCUCCAUGGGCAUCUCAAUGAACACAAGGCGCCUCCAUCAUGGGCCCUGUCACAGGAAUGCAGAGCUGAACCUUUUAAACAUGAGAAGGUACUAAGGAAGAUCUCUCUGAAGGAAAGAUAGGAAACAAGUGGCACCGAAUCAGAAGCUGAGGACAUCGUAAAAGUAAACUCUGAAGGCAUUUAUUGUCUGACCAUAGCUAAUGAACCAGUGAGGAAUCAGCAUCAAUAAGAAGCAAAUUAAACACCAGCUCCAGUUAAUUAGUAACCACAGCUGCCUGCUUUCCUACAUUCAAUUUCAGACUCACAUUAUGAAUUGCCUCCCUGGAGAAACCAGCCCCCUCCUCCCCCAAAAAGCCUUGAUCCAAUAAACUAACUUUUAAUGGAGCAGCAUCUUUCAAUCGAAGGACGGCAACUUAUCUCUGGGUCCUAGCUCUAUGGUGACACAAAUUCUCUGAGCUGCCCAAUCUCAC